CAAAUUGUCAUACCGGACCAACAUCGGAUCUCACAUCCUCUCGCCGUCGUGUCGAUGAGGACCAUUUUCCUCUGUCGCUACUAGGGCAAGCUAGUGUUCGUAUUUGUUGGUGAUGGUAAAGGUACGAUGUGGUCUCUAGACACUUCCAAAGGGAUUGUAGAAAUUGGCAAGUUGGGUGAUUAUGUGACUAUGCCAAUCAUUCUUACUUUCGCCAACAAUCCCCGUAACCUCAGCAAGUUCAUACGAAAUGUUGUUGUGAACAAACUUAACAGGAAUGGAUUCCAAGGAAAUGAGGGAAUUUCUUGUAGAGGAAACUAGCAGUUGUAGCAAUGUGCAUUCAGGAGGAAGCACACAUACUCGACCUUUGAUCAAUGACAUGGUUAAAACCAUUAAUUUUUUAGCAAAGAUGCAACAUACAACAAAGACUUUUUUUAGAGGACAAAGA